rnacentral:rRNA from 1 species
AUUCGCGGCCUAUCAGCUUGUUGGUGGGGUGAUGGCCUACCAAGGCGACGACGGGUAGCCGGCCUGAGAGGGUGACCGGCCACACUGGGACUGAGACACGGCCCAGACUCCUACGGGAGGCAGCAGUGGGGAAUAUUGCGCAAUGGGCGGAAGCCUGACGCAGCGACGCCGCGUGAGGGAUGAUGGCCUUCGGGUUGUAAACCUCUUUCAGCAGGGACGAAGCGGAAGUGACGGUACCUGCAGAAGAAGCACCGGCCAACUACGUGCCAGCAGCCGCGGUAAUACGUAGGGUGCAAGCGUUGUCCGGAAUUAUUGGGCGUAAAGAGCUCGUAGGCGGUUUGUCGCGUCGGCUGUGAAAGCCCGGAGCUCAACUCCGGGUCUGCAGUCGAUACGGGCAGACUUGAGUGUUGCAGGGGAGACUGGAAUUCCUGGUGUAGCGGUGAAAUGCGCAGAUAUCAGGAGGAACACCGGUGGCGAAGGCGGGUCUCUGGGCAACAACUGACGCUGAGGAGCGAAAGCGUGGGGAGCGAACAGGAUUAGAUACCCUGGUAGUCCACGCCGUAAACGUUGGGCGCUAGGUGUGGGGGCCAUUCCACGGUCUCCGUGCCGCAGCUAACGCAUUAAGCGCCCCGCCUGGGGAGUACGGAAU